rnacentral:misc_RNA from 1 species
AAGGAUAAUAUACGGAAUAUCGUCUUAGGCGAUACGGAAUAACGGAGACAUAUUGUAUUCAGUUUUGAAUGCUCAUUUAUUGAGAUUCMAAUUAAUGGGCCUAUAGCUCAGGCUGGUUAGAGCGCACGCUCGAUAAGCGUAGGUCGGCUGGUUCGAGWCCACUUAGGCCCACCAUUWUUUGUACAUUGAAAACUAGAUAAGUAAGUAUAGAUUUUACCAAGCAAAACCGAGUGACAAGCGAAAAGCUUGAAACAAAAAAUUAUCGCUAGUCGUCGACAGNCGACUCACAAUAAUUAAUAACUGGUGGAUGUUGGUUAAUGUUUACUUCGGAUGACAGAUGUUUUGAAAACGUUUGUCAGUCUAUGAAUCGCAAACAAGANCGAAGNCGUUACUUCCGUAARCAACUGAGUGAUUUGUGCCGCGAUNAAGNCGAAUGCAAACGAUUGCCAAAACAUCAUAAA